GCCGCACUGACUGCUGGAAAUUGUAGUCUGGCCAGCAAGCAAGGAAAACAAAUAUUUAGCAGACAACAGGGGCCACAGGAGCUGGCAAAAUCACAUGAAUAACUACAGGAGACACAGAACAGGCUCUUUGGAAAAAGAAUGCAGGUUAACUCUGUUCCAUAUUUGUCAUCUCUAAAAGGAAGAGUCACCAACCUGUAGACAGCUCUUACGAAGCAGGGUACUGGUUGCCUAGAGAGAUGCCCUAGACAAAGAAGUUUCUGCUGCCAAGCUUUAACCUAAUCUGCACUGAUGAGGAUCAAGAACCCUAAAAAAAAAAAAGCUGUCUACAGAUUUGUAAAUAUCAAGGAACAUUUUUAUGGAAGCAUACAAUUCAUAUUGUUUUAAUAAAAGAAAACUUAAAUCUA